rnacentral:misc_RNA from 1 species
UGUGAGCUCCUUUUUUUUUAUAUAUAAUAUAGGAGUGAUCAAUCCAGACAGAUGAUCGUUUCUGCACAAAAGCAAACAGAACAGAAAGCACUGAAAGGGAGCUCAAAAUAGGUACAAACAUCCAAUUGUUCAGUAUCACUGCUUGGACUUAACGUAGCCUGUUCUGAUAGAAGGAUUCCAUCUAAUAUUUGUUGUACCUUUCGCCACAUAUAAAAUCAAGCAAUCUAAUGAGACUCAUCUUUGAUUCAAUUAGCCAAAUGCUGAGUCAGCACAUCACCUGCACCACAAUUCACAGAUCUAGUACACUUAAUUUAUCAAAAUAUAGUUUCAUUGCUCCCCUGCAUGCAAAGCUCAAACACAGAAUAAAUCAGCAAAAACUAACAAAGA